CCUACGGGUGGCAGCAGUCGAGAAUCAUUCACAAUGGGGGAAACCCUGAUGGUGCGACGCCGCGUGGGGGAAUGAAGGUCUUCGGAUUGUAAACCCCUGUCAUGUGGGAGCAAAUUAAAAAGCUAGUACCACAAGAGGAAGAGACGGCUAACUAUGUGCCAGCAGCAGCGGUAAUACAGAGGUCUUAAGCGUUGUUCGGAAUCACUGGUCGUAAAGUGUGCGUAGGCUGAUUCGUAAGUCGUGUGUGAAAGGCGCGGGCUCAACCCGCGGACGGCACAUGAAACUGGGAGACUAGAGUAAUGGAGGGGGAAGCGGAAUUCGCGGUGUAGCAGUGAAAUGCGUAGAGA
rnacentral:rRNA from 1 species